AGCGAACGCUGGCGGCAGGCUUAACACAUGCGAGUCGAGCGGGCACUUCGGUGUCAGCGGCAGACGGGUGAGUAGCACGUGGGAACGUACCCUUUGGUUCGGAAUAACGCUGGGAAACUAGCGCUAAUACCGGAUACGCCCUUUUGGGGAAAGGCUUGCUGCCGAAGGAUCGGCCCGCGUCUGAUUAGCUAGUUGGUGGGGUAAUGGCCUACCAAGGCGACGAUCAGUAGCUGGUCUGAGAGGAUGAUCAGCCACACUGGGACUGAGACACGGCCCAGACUCCUACGGGAGGCAGCAGUGGGGAAUAUUGGACAAUGGGCGCAAGCCUGAUCCAGCCAUGCCGCGUGAGUGAUGAAGGCCUUAGGGUUGUAAAGCUCUUUUGUCCGGGACGAUAAUGACGGUACCGGAAGAAUAAGCCCCGGCUAACUUCGUG
rnacentral:rRNA from 1 species